AGCCUCUAUGCAUCCAGAUUCCCUACACAGGAAGGGCUCUUAAUUUUGAACACAACUCCAGCUGCUUGAGACAUUUUUCUAAUAACCUAGCAACUAGAUGCAAUUGUUCAACUCUAAUGCUUUGUGGAAAUGUGUCACCACUAGCCAGGCAGAACAUACCAGGCAGGAUAUGCGCAAUGAUUACUUAUAGGUUUCAUUUAAUUUGCUUGAGAAGUACUUGGAAGCACACUCAAAGGCCUCCAUGUGGGAAAAUGAGCUCCUGGAUGUAGGCUACCAGCCUCUGUGCAUCCAAAUUCCCUACACAGUAAGGCUCUUAAUUUUGAACUAAGAACUCCAGCCUCACGUUUUGUUUCCUUAGUUGGUAUAAGGCUUACUCCUUGCAUAUUAUUUUUUCUGUUAGUCGUGUACUCUAUGUUAGAUGGCUUACUCUAAGUAACAUUUAUUUUUAUACUUCUUGAUACACUUGAUAAGGAUAUUAAUUUGUUCUCCAUGAGA